CAUCGAUGAUAAUGUGAAUUGCAGAAUUCAGUGAAUCAUCGAAUCUUUGAACGCACAUUGCGCCCCCUGGUAUUCCGGGGGGCAUGCCUGUUCGAGCGUCAUUACACCACUCCAGCCUCGCUGGGUCUUGGGUGCCGCGGCCCCCGCGCGCCCUAAUGUCUCCGGCCGAGCCGACCGUCGCUCAGCGUUGUGGCACCACUGUCUCGCUGACGGGACCGGUCCGGCGGCGCGCCGUUAAACCCCUCCAAAGGUUGACCUCGGAUCAGGUAGGGAUACCCGCUGAACUUAAGCAUAUCAAUAAUCGA
rnacentral:rRNA from 1 species